GACGAACGCUGGCGGCGUGCUUAACACAUGCAAGUCGAACGGAAAGGCCCUGCUUUUUUGGGGUUCUCGAGUGGCGAACGGGUGUGUAACACGUGAGUAACCUUGCUUUGACUUUGGGAUGUCCUCAGGAAAGUGCGGAUAAUACCUGCUAGGUGCUCCUGCUGCUGGGGGGGGGUUGGAAAGUUUGGGCGGUUGGGGAUGGACGCGCGGUUUAAUAGCUUGUUGGUGGGGUAGUGGCUUACCAAGGCUUUGACGGGUAGCCGGCCUGAGAGGUUGACCGCGCACAAUAGGACUAAGAGACGGACCAGACUCGUACAUGAGGCAGUAGUCGGGAAUAUGACACAGUGGGCGCAAGCCUGUGGCAACAGCGCCCGGUGCGGGAUGACCGCCUUCGGGGUGUAAACCGCAUUCGCCUAUGACGAAGCGUGAGUGACGGUAAUGGGUAAAGAAGCACCGGCUAACUACGUG
rnacentral:rRNA from 1 species